AAAUAGGAAACUAAUAAAUACAAUAAUUCCUGAUUAUAUUCUAAUUAAGGGAUUUACACUAAUUUAUGGAUUCUAACAGUAACUAACAAAAGAAAGUUAUGACCGCUGGAAUAACAUGUAAAUCAAGCAUGGCAUAGUUUAGCAACAGUAUUGGAUGCCUUUAGACUACUGAUAUUUAACACCUCUUUGACCUAAUGAAUUGACACAGAAAAUCUGGUAGAAUGGAAAAUGCAGUUUGUUGGGAAUGCUUGUGCAUGUCUGCAUGUAGAGGUUACCCAUAAUAAAAGGUGAAAAUGCUGCUGGGAAAGCUUGUUCUCUGUCAUCCUGUCUGGGAUUUUUCUGUAGAUUAUUUAUAAUUGCAUUGUUUGCUUAAUUUUUUCACCAAUCCAUUCGAAAAGUUAAGGUGAUAUUUUAGCUAGUUAUGAAUUAAAACUAUUAUUUGGCCCUUACAUUGUAAUUCCAUCAACCUUAUAUUUUAUUACAAGUUCUCAUCGUACACACUAUUUUUGCUUGCCCUAUGAUGUUCACGUAUGCAUGUACUAUUUCCACUUGCCCUAUGAUGACUAUCCUGUGAAACAUUUAAUAUAUCUUUUUUUCAUUGCUGAGGACCUGAUGCAGUCAAGGAAGACUAGAU
rnacentral:misc_RNA from 1 species